AAACGACUCUCGGCAACGGAUAUCUCGGCUCUCGCAUCGAUGAAGAACGUAGCGAAAUGCGAUACUUGGUGUGAAUUGCAGAAUCCCGUGAACCAUCGAGUCUUUGAACGCAAGUUGCGCCCCAAGCCUUCCGGCCGAGGGCACGUCUGCCUGGGCGUCACAAAUCGUCGUC
rnacentral:rRNA from 1 species